GAAAGACAAAAGAGUGAGAGCCUGCACGUAUCAUUUCUGGACAACACAUGUAAAGAAAAUGUUAAAACUUGAUUUUUUUUUUGAGAAGCAUGCAUGCUUGACUGUGCUUCCAGCCGAUGUUAUUUUAGUCUUUUACUUGGAUAUGCGUUUGUUUGUCCUGGAGCUUGCGGAUGCACUUGCAUCUACUUUUAUGAUAUGAUAUUGAUGUAAACAGUCAGUUGUGUUUUCAGAACAGGACGAAACAUCUGAUACGUGGAAGCAGAUCUGUGCAUUAUUGUGAAUGCAGAUAAUAAUCUAAUCUAAUAAUAACAAAAAAAAAAAAAAUUAUAUGCUCAAUUAACCUUAUAAAAACUGAUCUCUUGUAAUCGUCUUUUCCCCUUUCAUUACAUUAAAUUUGCUUGUAUGUUUUGAAGCUAUAUUUAUUUUAAAUUCAUAGCAAUAAUUAAUAAUAUAGCGAUUAUUUUAAAACGUAGCCUGCUUAUAUAAUUUAACAUAAUCGUGAUGCUUUGUGAUAUUGAAACGAAUAAAAUCAUUGACAUGAUAAUUGUAAUCGAAAGUGAUGCAAAAACCCUCCAAAAAACAAACCAAAAAAACCCCAAACAUGCAUAUUAAAAUAGCAAAAAAAGAGAGAGAGCAGAGUACGACACACUUCCUGUUCUCUACAAACAUACGCAGUGCACUUUUAAUUCCUAUAAACACACACACACACGCUCUCUCGCUCACUCAGUCUGGGUUCAUGAGGGUAGUGUGUAUUUGUGCUCCCAGCAUGCACGUGUGUUUUGUGUUUGACUGGGUCUGUGGCCCGGGGUUGUGUCACUGUAGCUUCACUGCAGGAUGAGUCAAGUUCAGGCGACAGAGCCCCUGGGGAGAGGAAAAAACGCCUCCUGCAGCCCAAGCACAGCAAGCACACCCUCAUCCGUCAGCGGGCCUCGCCGAUGAUUUAUCCCUCUGCUGCUCCUCGCCGCUCUCCAUCGGUUCUGCAGUCCGCGGUGACGGAGUGGAGGAUGUGAUCUCAGUGGGAAAGGAAUCUGAAGUGUGUAUCUAAACAAGCGAGUGAAUGAGGGUCUUAACGAGGGUCUCUCAUGCCAUCCGCUCGUUAACAAGCUCAUUAGCAGAGGUUUCCCCCCCGAACAGUCCUACUGUGAUAUCUGAGGCAGGCAGGCAGACCCCGGUCUAAACUCACAGAAUCAUGGGAGAGAGAAGCUGACACGCCAGCGCGAGCAAACAAAGCGUGACAGAUUAACAGUGAGGACAUUCCAGGAAGUUGGGCAAAAAAAAUUGCUUACUUGUAGCUAGAAUAGGAUGAAAAAAAACUAAAACAUUUGGCCUUUAAAUGCAUGCAUUUAUACAAAGAAGGCGCUUCCUGAGAGUCUCCUGAAACGUCUCCCUCCUUCGUGUGAUUCCAUCUUUUCUACAUUCCUCUCUUUUGUUCAGCUCGGUGCAGCCGUACUGACCCAUAAACACCCCGCUCUCUCCAUCCCCCAUCUCCUAACUGUUGUCUAUGUACAGCAGACAAGCUCAGGCAGUAAAGCCAGUCAGGAUUUCACUGCCCACUACUGGAUACAGCGUGAACUGCAGCACAGCUCUCUCAUCUCAUUUUGUCCUAAUAUCUCCCAGGACUAGUUUUUAUAGUUUGAAUGAUGACUGAAAACCUGUGUAAUGGACACUUCUUGUGACUGUUGCCCUCAUAAUGACGAUGUUCCUCAAUGGUAAGAUGCUUUGGAUGAAAGUAUGCAUUUGCCGAAUGCAUUUGUAAAUAAGACAAGUUAACACUUUUUAGUUGUUCAUUGGUAACUCUAAACUAAUCUAAUUGACUUUAAUGCAUUAACUAACAUUAGCCAACAAUGACCUGUACAUCUGUUACACCUCUAAUAAAUACUGUAACAUGUGUAUAGCUCGCUGUACUAUAAUGUUAGUUAAUGCAACUUUAUUAAAAGUUAAUAGAAAUACUAUAUACAUAUACAGACAGAUAUACACACACACACACACUAGUUCAAUAUUAAGAUUAAUAAGUGCUUUCAUUGUUAGUUCUUGUUACCUAAUGUUAACAAAUGAAACAUUAUAAAGUAAUAUUUCCUUGUCCGUUAUGUUGUUGCCCUUCCAUGUUACAAGUAUAUCGU